GAUGAACGCUGGCGGCGUGCCUAAUACAUGCAAGUCGAGCGAAUAGACGAGGAGCUUGCUCCUCUGACGUUAGCGGCGGACGGGUGAGUAACACGUGGAUAACCUACCUAUAAGACUGGGAUAACUUCGGGAAACCGGAGCUAAUACCGGAUAAUAUAUUGAACCGCAUGGUUCAAUAUUGAAAGACGGUUUUGCUGUCACUUAUAGAUGGAUCCGCGCCGCAUUAGCUAGUUGGUAAGGUAACGGCUUACCAAGGCGACGAUGCGUAGCCGACCUGAGAGGGUGAUCGGCCACACUGGAGCUGAGACACGGUCCAGACUCCUACGGGAGGCAGCAGUAGGGAAUCUUCCGCAAUGGGCGAAAGCCUGACGGAGCAACGCCGCGUGAGUGAUGAAGGUCUUCGGAUCGUAAAACUCUGUUAUUAGGGAAGAACAAAUGUGUAAGUAACUAUGCACGUCUUGACGGUACCUAAUCAGAAAGCCACGGCUAACUACGUG
rnacentral:rRNA from 1 species